UUACAGUCAUACCACGUUGAAACACUAGUUCCCGUACGAUCACCGAAGUUAAGCAACGUCGAGCCUGGCCAAUACCUAGAGGCAUGAGCACUUGGAAAUACCAGGUGCUGUAAG